rnacentral:rRNA from 1 species
GACGAACGCUGGCGGCGUGCUUAACACAUGCAAGUCGAACGGUGAACGAGGGAGCUUGCUCCCUCCGGAUCAGUGGCGAACGGGUGAGUAACACGUGAGCAAUCUGCCCCGAACUCUGGGAUAAGCGUUGGAAACGACGUCUAAUACCGGAUACGACGCGGGAGGGCAUCCUCUCCGCGUGGAAAGAACUUCGGUUCGGGAUGAGCUCGCGGCCUAUCAGCUUGUUGGUGAGGUAACGGCUCACCAAGGCGACGACGGGUAGCCGGCCUGAGAGGGUGACCGGCCACACUGGGACUGAGACACGGCCCAGACUCCUACGGGAGGCAGCAGUGGGGAAUAUUGCACAAUGGGCGCAAGCCUGAUGCAGCAACGCCGCGUGAGGGACGACGGCCUUCGGGUUGUAAACCUCUUUUAGCAGGGAGGAAGCGAAAGUGACGGUACCUGCAGAAAAAGCACCGGCUAACUACGUG